GUCGUGCUCACGAGUCCUACUCCUACCCUUUCCCCAGCCAUGGAGCCGGUGGACGGCAUUUGCCUAAAGUAAUGUUGGCCGAUGUAGCUGAUGCCUUAAGGGCCCUGAGUAUUUAUCAACUGCCUGUCCUGUGCCAAGUGCUAUCCUAAGAUCUGGGGACACAGCAGUGAACAGCCCUGUCCUCACAGAGUUCACAUAACAGGGGAGACAACACAUGAACAUGUCAAGUAUCGAUAGGUGCUAUGAAGGAAAAUAAAGCAAGAUUCCUAAGGGAGAAAUGUGGAGA